GGGGGGGGGGGGGCUACCAUGUCUGUAAUGCACUUGGGGUCAAAUAGUAUUACACAACAGUUAGUUCCGACCAAGUAAUUUGAUUGGACGAGAGGCAUUCCAUGAGCGCUGAUGUUUCACAGCCGUGCUGAUAUUCAGUAUAACAUCACGACCUGGCGUGUGAUAUUGCUUAAAUAAUUAGUUUGAGACACUGUGGUUGGUUGGUAAACAGCCAGCAGCCCAAGGACUCUUGAUACCAAACUUCCUCUUUCAGUCCUUCUUGUAACUGAGCUGUGGAACUGUGUGAUUCUUCGUAUCUGCUCAGUCUUAAAGUAGCAUCAUUCGGCCUUAUCAGGACAUAUUUGGCAUCACUAUUACCUAUUUCAUCUCUACAUAAAAAGUACCCUAGCAGGACACGUCUGAGCAGUGAAGACUUGUCAAGGUUGCCGGGAGGAAGUCGGUCGUCCUGAUUUUUCUCCUCUCAUGUUUAAAAUCAGUAUCGGCCUACAUUCCAAACAGAUCAUAACAAGACCGGAGGGAACAGUGGCAGACAAACCAAAACAAGGCAGAGCUGCCUUUAAUCCAGUGCUGAGGCGUCUGAAUGAGACGGCCUAUCAUCGGGUUGUUUUGAAAGACGUCAUAAGGCUUUGUUGUGCGCUGUGUUAGAGGGGAAUGCCGGGAGUUUGUUGGGUGUUUGAUUGUGCUGAUUCGUCCAUGGCCGAAUAUGUUUUGUCUUUAGAGGCAAAAAGUUUACCACAGUCUCUGGUUCUGUCUUGGAGUCAGCACAAUAUACAACACUGUGGAAACACAGUAGGUUUUUCUUUCUUUAAAAGGUAACAAGUUAUUUAAAGCCCAAGAGGCAGUCAGCUGCAGGAUGAUGAUGGCCAAUGUACUGUAUAAUUCGAGUGUGGCAGCAUAGUCUAUGCAUUGCACUUAAUGUGCCUUGAACGCACCUUGAUGGCCUGAUAGCCUAUCCGUGAGCAGGGGCCAGUAUUUAAGACAGCCCUCUCCCCUGCUCUUUCGCUUCCCAAUUCACUUCCGGUAGCAGGCCGGCCGGCUUCCCUUUUACCACGGCGUGCGUCCCGCUGUGUGUACUGCUCUGUCGCUCCUGUAUGCUCCUGUUUGGCAUGGUAAGUGUUCUCUCUCUCUGCAUCAUAGUAUUUGCAUUCCGACAUCUAAUGCUAGUGUGGUCGUAGGAAAUGCUGAUGUCCAGAUUUGUCCCUCUCGUCCGCCCACCUGUAUGAGUGUGUGUGCGCGCAUCCACUUCUGCUAAAGUUGUCAGAGGCCGGUGGUGGUGGUGGCGUCGGUGACUGGUGGUGGUGUCCCCCUCAUUUGAUGUGCUGUGCUCCCCGGUGGUGGUUCCUUCAAUGUGUGGGUGAUUUAUUUCUAUUUAUUUUGGGUGAACCGCUCCUGUUCACUAGUACCUGCCCACCUGGUAAGCCUCUGCUCCUGACUAGUUGCCCUUCUUUUGGUGUGAAUGAUUUUGAUUGUUAAUUAUUUUAACCAAUUGUAAUAAAAUAUAUUUUUAUACCUCGAA